rnacentral:rRNA from 1 species
AUGCUGAGGACUCUGGAGAGACUGCCGUCGUAAGAUGUGAGGAAGGUGGGGAUGACGUCAAAUCAGCACGGCCCUUACGUCCGGGGCUACACACGUGUUACAAUGGGGGGUACAGAAGGCAGCUAGCGGGUGACCGUAUGCUAAUCCCAAAAGCCUCUCUCAGUUCGGAUCGAAGUCUGCAACCCGACUUCGUGAAGCUGGAUUCGCUAGUAAUCGCGCAUCAGCCACGGCGCGGUGAAUACGUUCCCGGGCCUUGUACACACCGCCCGUCAAGCCAUGGGAGCCGGGGGUACCUGAAGUACGUAACCGCAAGGAUCGUCCUAGGGUAAAACUGGUGACUGGGGCUAAGUCGUAACAAGGUAGCCGUACCGGAAGGUGCGGCUGGAACACCUCCUUU